UAAAAUUGUUACCAAAUAUAGCUUUAUUUUGUAUAUUUUCGUUCUAGUAAAAUAAUGAAUUUGGGUGCUAGUGAUGACUUAUAAUUUCGACAUCAGCAAAAUGUUCGAUGAAGACGUGCGUCUCCCAAGGCUGUGUCAUUAAUCUUAAGAAUAGUUGCUUUGGUGAAUACACUUCCAAAAUAACAAAUUAAUUUUGCCAAGAGCAGCAGAAGGAAAAAUAAAACACUUAAAUUUACCUAAUAUGAAUUUUAACUUAAGUAAGAUUAAUCGCUUUUAUAGUUACCAAGAAGUGAAAAUAGAAAAGGAGAAUGGUUAGAAGCAAUUGAAACUGAAAAUAUCAAGCCAAAUGUAAAGGAUAUAAUAUCAUAGUAUGUUCCCUACAUUUCCCCGAAAGUGCUUUCAAUAGAACAAUGGAUGUGAUUAGUCUGCACGAUGAUGCUAUACCAGUAUGUCUGCCGCUGCAUUCACACAGGGUACCAGUUGAGCCUCAAAUCCCGAACUCAAAAAUGAACAGAGUGUAUCUGAGUGCAUUCCAGGCUACACAAAAUAGUUUAGCUCUAUAAUUUUCUCUAUUAUUAUAUAUUAUUGUUUUUUUUGUCUAUUAUUUAUAAAUAAAUAAAUACAAUUACUGUA